AUGUUAGUCCUAAUGUCGUUUUUAAUUAUUCUCUUGACAUCAGACUAUAGCAAAGGACAAUGCACUGGAGAAUUCUCCAACCAGAUGGCUGGACACAAACAAGUGGAGUGUAGCUUCAAUGGUGUGUACCCAGAGGCCAAAAUAAACUGGUAUCAUUAUGACAUGAACCUGACUUCCAACUCUACAACCACAAGCCUGGAGAACACUGAUGGAACGUUCAACAUCACAAGUGUCCUCAACAUCCAGGACAAUCACAAGAGAUAUAACUGCUCACUGUGGUCACUCAAAUAUGGACGACACAGUGAUCAAGAGUUUGAAGUGGGAGAUCAAGCUGAGUUCAGUCCUGUUAGCAGGAUCAGCACACAACAUUUUUUAUCAUGGACUCUUGUUUUCAUUGAGAGCCUGUUUGUCUUCAUAAUCUUCACAUAAUGACUCAACCCAACUAUCCCAAGACCUGACGACAAAAUCAAAGAUCUGGGGGAGUUUCAUAAAUUGAAUUUGCCAGAUAAGCUGAUCAUCUAUUCAAUAUUUGACCCACAACUUCAUGACUUGGAUUAUUUAGGAAAACACUCAUAUUAAAAACCCAAACUAUUUCAUACAGCAUUUUGAAAAUGCAUUUAUUCACAUUCUUUAUGCAAAAUAAUGUAUGAUCUCAAAUUAAUUGAAAGACUACACUGAAUAUACUGUAAAAAAUGUGAAAAGCUUUGUCAUUUUAGUGUCAUUGAGAUACAUGUAUAGUUUUUAUAAAAUAGUUUUUAUUUUUACAUUUUGCAAUUUCGUUUAAAUUUUUGUUCAAGUCUGUUUAACGUCAAUUUGUUUUUGUCAUUUUAUUGUUUUUAAUGUCUAUAUUGUUUUUUUUUUUUUUUAUUUUUUUUUUUUUAUUUUAUUUAUUAAAGGAAACAUUUUUUAUUUUUAUUUAUUGAUGUAUAAAAAUAAUUGAAAAUAAAAAAAAAAAAAAACAAUUCUGCUAUUUGUUA
ensembl:lncRNA